rnacentral:rRNA from 1 species
AGCAGCCGCGGUAAUUCCAGCUCCAAUAGCGUAUAUUAAAGUUGUUGCAGUUAAAAAGCUCGUAGUUGAAUUUUGGAUUCUGCCAGUUGGUCCAUCUUUUGAUGAGUACUGAUUGUGCGGGGUCUAUCCGCCUGGGGAGACGGAAUGUACUUUAUUGUAUGUUGCGGGUAGCCAGGACCUUUACCUUGAAAAAAUUAGAGUGUUUAAAGCAGGCUUAUGCCGGAAUACAUUAGCAUGGAAUAAUAGAAUAGGACGAUGUUGUUUUAUUUUGUUGGUUUCUAGGACAACCGUAAUGAUUAAUAGGGAUAGUUGGGGGCAUUAGUAUUCAAUUGUCAGAGGUGAAAUUCUUGGAUUUAUUGAAGACUAACUACUGCGAAAGCAUUUGCCAAGGAUGUUUUCAUUAAUCAAGAACGAAAGUUAGGGGAUCGAAGACGAUCAGAUACCGUCGUAGUCUUAACCAUAAACUAUGCCGACUAGGGAUCGGGCGAUGUUGUUUCCAUGACUCGCUCGGCACCUUAUG